UGGGGAAUAUUGGACAAUGGGCGAAAGACUGAUCCAGCCAUGCCGAGUGAGUGAAGAAUGUCUUCGGAUAGUACAGCACUUUAAGUUGGGAGGAAGGGCAGUAAGCGAAUACCUUGCUGUUUUGACGUUACCGACAGAAUAAGCACCGGCUAACUCUGUGCCAGCAGCCGCGGUAAUACAGAGGGUGCAAGCGUUAAUCGGAAUUACUGGGCGUAAAGCGCGCGUAGGUGGUUCGUUAAGUUGAAUGUGAAAGCCCCGGGCUCAACCUGGGAACUGCAUCCUAAACUGGCGAGCUAGAGUAGGGCAGAGGGUGGUGGAAUUUCCUGUGUAGCGGUGAAAUGCGUAGAUAUAGGAAGGAACACCAGUGGCGAAGGCGACCACCUGGGCUCAUACUGACACUGAGGUGCGAAAGCGUGGGGAGCAAACAGG
rnacentral:rRNA from 1 species